rnacentral:lncRNA from 1 species
GACAGCAAAUGAGCAAAAAAAUAAACGUACACUCGAAGAUUGUGGUAUACAAGUUAAAAAAUAUGACGGGGAUAGGCCUACAGUUUCCAGAUUGAUAUCUAUAAAUUCCUCUCAACCACGUCAAGCUUUUGGAAUAGAUAGCUUUGAAAACGAGUCUUAUAAAAUUUUGUUGAACUCAGAAGAACCACUUCCUCCUUCGAGUGGCACGUUGGCAAUAUCGGCAACAAGAGUUGAAAAUGAAAACAAUAUUUUGCAUAAAGAUAAGUUGGGUGAGGCAAUUACUACAAACGAUCCUGCUUUGUGGGCUGAAAAUACGUCCAAAGUAGAACGCGAUGCAGUUGUUCUUCAGGGGCCUCCUAAAAAUCCUUUAUCUUUUCCGAGAGACUCAAACAAGAUUAAGGUUCCUGAAUAAGUUUUCCACGAAAUAACUCGUAAUGGGGAGAAAAUAAACAGAGAUUGGCUUGUUUAGAGUGCAACUUCAAAAUCAUUUCUUUGCUUUCCGUGCUCACUUUUCGGAAGCAAACAAGCCUGCGGGGCUGGUAAUAAUUCACAUCUUCUACGUUGGAAUGGUGGCACCAAUGGAAACUGGAGAAAGCUAGCUGAAAGAGUAAAAGGCCACCAAAACAAUCCUCACCCUCGAGACAAUUACAUUAAGUGGAAAACAGCGCUGGAAAGCUUGGGAAAUCAAUGUGGGAUUGAUUCAAGUUUAGAAAAAUUGAUAAGAAAUGAGGCAGCCAGGUGGCGUGAAAUUUUAAAGCGCAUUUUAGAUGUAAUUCUCUUCUUAGCAUCACGCAACCUUAGCU